rnacentral:rRNA from 1 species
UACGGGGGGGGCAAGCGUUUGUUCGGAAUUACUUGGGCGUAAGGGUUCGUAGGUGGCCAACUAAGUCGGACGUGAAAUCCCCAGGCUCAACCUGGGAACUGCGUCCGAUACUGGAUGGGCUUGAAUUCGGGAGAGGGAUGCAGAAUUCCAGGUGUAGCGGUGAAAUGCGUAGAUAUCUGGAGGAAUACCGGUGGCGAAGGCGGCAUCCUGGACCGACAUUGACGCUGAUGAGCGAAAGCCAGGGGAGCAAACAGGG